AUAAAUCUGAAUAAAGUAUGGAGU
rnacentral:piRNA from 1 species